UUGAUCUUCCUCCCAUUUUUAUUGGGCCAAAAAAAAACAUUAAAGAAAUAUUAUUUUCUUCUAAAGAAUGAAAAGAUAACAUUUCCUAAAACUUCAGCUGAAGAACUCAAUUUGCAAGAACUGAAGAAGAGGAUCGAAGAACGGAAGAAAUCGAUUUGUACUAUGAUUUUCAUCACAUUUCUGUCAAACUUCAGCUGAAGAACAACAUUUUCAGCUGAAGAACCGAAGAGCAGUGCGAUUUCUCUGAAGAUGAACUCAAGAAGACGAUUUUCCUCUCAGAGCUUCGUUGUUGAAGAUUGGAGAGCUGAAGAACACGAUUUUCUUCAAAGAUUCCUCAGUAAACUGCCGUUUCAUCAGAUUUCCUAUUGAAAAUUGAAAGAAAAUGCUUCACAAAUCAACUUGCCUCAUGUCUUAAAGCUUUAGGGUUGUUGGAAUAGAGUUUAUCAGCUGAAGCUAAGUCACUUUUAUCUGAAGAACUGAGCUGAAUCUAAAUCGUCUCUCUUCGAAGAACUGAUGUGUUGAAGCUGGCGAUACCUACGACAUUUUGUCCCUUAUAUAGAUUUUGUCAAGUGUAAGUAGCUACCUACAUGAAUUUUGAGAAGGUUUUAAUGUCUGUUUUAAUCUGUUGUCACUGUUUUUUUAGUCUUCCUGAGUUCAUGGUUGUGCUCCCCUUAUGCUUGGUUUGUUCCUUUGUUAACCACAAUGAUUCUGUCUUGUAGCUAUUUGCUGGUAAAAUUUUUCUUUUUUUCGACUAUAGUCUUGAAGUGUCUAGAAGUUAUUUUUUUGUUUCUGUAGUGCAUUUUCAAGUAUAGAUCAGAAACUUUAGUUCAAUAUUGCUUAGUUGUUUUGGGAUCACCUGAUAUUGUUGAGAGAUUAUGAGGAGUUUAAAGUAUGCAUAGAUGCCUUGGUUGCUAAGGUGCAAAAGGUUCCCGAGGGAAGUUGGACGAUGCAGGAUGGGACUCCUUGGACUGGGAAUAAUGUUAUAGAUCAUCCUGGAAAGAUUCAGGUCUUGUUAGGCUAGAAUGGGGGGAUAGAUACUAAUGGUAAAGAAUUACCUCGACUAGUAUAUGUAUCUAGAGAAAAAAGACGUGGAUUUAAACAUCACAAGGAAGCUGGUGCAAUGAAUGCUCUGGUCAGGGUUUCUGUUGUGCUCACUAAUGUUACUUAUAUAUUAAAUUUGGACUAUGAUCACUAUUAACAACAACAAAGCCAGUAGGGAAGUUAUGUGUUUCAUGAUGGAUCCAACGCUUGGGAAGACAGUUAGGUAUGUUCAGUUCCCUCAGAGAUUGUAUGGCAUUGAUAGGAAUGAUCCGUAUGCUAAUAGGAAUACUGUUUCUUUGAUGGGAGGGGAUGGCAUACUCUGUCGGUGCAAGUGCAAAUUAUACACCGCAUGUGACAGUGUUAAUGCUGGUGAGGUCCAGCCCAGGAGCUGUUUGUAAGGCUUUCUCUGAAGCUAUAGCAGAGGAUCUUCGUAAAGGAGGGGUUGCAGAAUGCAGGUAUAACAACACCACUAACAGAAUUCAUUUAUGAUGUCUUGAAAGCUUAGCGGGACCAUGAGAGGGCCAAGUUUUCAUUUCCUCCAUUGACGAAUCUCGAAAGUGUUGGCAAUCAAAUUUAAAUGGUGGCCACAAAUCAGUUCGAUUGAUUGAGGCAAAGAUGAUCAAGAGUUCUUGAACUAUUGUAGAAGUUUGAAUAUAUUUAGUUUUGUGAAAUAAAUAGGUAGUAGUUAAAUUGCUUUAUGACAUAUUUUUUUUUUAUCUGUUUAUUUCAAAUUUAUAAAUUUUAAUUAUUUAUUAGCUAAUUUAAUGUUUAUUUAUUGUAAACCAAUAUUUUAAUUUUCAA